rnacentral:rRNA from 1 species
UCAUAGCGACUAUCGUGGCAUAUCAAUAAGCGGAGGAAAAGAAACUAACUAGGAUUCCCUCAGUAACGGCGAGUGAAGCGGGAAGAGCUCAAAUUUGAAAUCUUCAAGGUUCUACCUUGACGAAUUGUAGUUUAAAGAAGUGUUUUCUGUUGGAGUUUUGGUAAAAGUUCUUUGGAAUAGGACAUCAUAGAGAGUGAGAAUCCCGUAUUUGACCAUUAUUUCCAGCUGUGUGAUACACUUUCAAAGAGUCGGAUUGUUUGGGAAUGCAGUCCAAAAUGGGUGGUAAAUUUCAUCUAAAGCUAAAUAUUGGCGAGAGACCGAUAGCGAACAAGUACCGUGAGGGAAAGAUGAAAAGAACUUUGAAAAGAGAGUUAAACAGUACGUGAAAUUGUCAAAAGGGAAGCGUUUGACACCAGUGUUGUUUUUCCGAAAAUCAAUUAAAAAUCGAUUCAUGCCAGGUUGUAUUGACCUUAUCAGCUUGCAAUUUGGUUUUGGGUCUCUUUUUGAUGCACUUUUCGGUUAACAAGUCAACAUCAAUUUCCUUUGUUGUAAAAGGGUAAUGAGGAAGGUGGCUUCAAUUUCGGUAGAAGGUGUUUAUAGCCUUGUAUCCUCUGCAGUCGGAGAGAUUGAGGUCUGCAGCGUAGAUCCUUCGGGGUUAGAUACAUUUAUGCUAAGUUAUAGCUUUCAUAGACAACUUGUUGACUAUGAUUAGUCAUUGUAGCUUACUCGCUUACUGCUAUUUUACCUACGCUUAGGAUGUUGACGAGACUGUCGAUCUC